rnacentral:lncRNA from 1 species
AAGAGGGAAACACUUGCUUACAUAAAUUGAAACAAUUCAUGAAAUGUAUUGCCAAUAUACAUAGUUUGUUGGAAUUGUUAAAAGACAGGUCAGACAUUAGAGUCAACAGAAAUAAGAGAAAAAUCAUCACUGAAAGAUCAAGUAAGAUUUUAAAAAUGACUAUUUUUAUUAUUAUUUAAUUAAAGUUAUUUAAAAAUAUUAACAAUACAUUGUGAAAUUAUAUAUAUAUAUAUGUAUAUAUAUAUAUAUAUAUGAAAUGCUCUUGUACUUGUGAAAUAUAUGCAGCAAUCAUAUUAAGAAUGAAGAGAGGAAUCAGACUUGUUUUAUCUUAUUACCAAAAAGUAUCAGACACAACAAUCUAUAAUGCAGUAAAGUGCUAUUUGAAAACAGAAUUGUAAAUCUUGUAGUUGCAUAUUGGAACUUUAUUUGAAAGUAUAAUGGAUAUACAAAGGAGAAAAAAAGCAAUAAGACCAUUUAAAAUUCUCAACAAAAAGCAGAAGAAAAGUAUUUUUUAAACUUCCACAAGAAGAACUAUACAGUUAAAUAGAACAACAUCUAUCUGAGAAGCUAAAUCAGUAAUGAAUAACCUUCCAAAGCUAGACCAUAUGAUUCACUCAGUAAUUCUAAAGCAGUUAAGAAUUUCAGAAUCAUUUGAAUUCUUUCCAGUUUUUAGAAUCCAGGUAAACACUUCCUAAUUCAUUACUCUCUUAACACCAAGCCCAUAUAAAGAUAUUAAAAACAAAACUGCAAAAUGCUAUUUAUCAUAGUCAUAAAUAUACAAUCCUGACCCCCAGGUUGGUGAAUGAAGUAUAAUUGUAUUAAAAGUUAUCUUUAAAUACAAGGCUAGCUCAACAUCUAGUAUGAGAACUGUUUAGUCAUAAUAAGCUAAAGUAGAAAAGCCACAAGAUCACGUCUAUAGAUUCAGAAAUGGGAAAUUGAGAAAAUUUAAAAACCACUCAUGAUUUAAGCGCAAAUGAUCUCAUUGCAGUACAAUUCUGAUUCCCUGCACUAAAGCUGACCUCCACAAUUCUGGGCCUGACAACAUGUAGUCAGGGAAGGGAGGAGGCUACUCUCCCCAAGGAGGGACUACUAGCAGAUAAUGGUUAUUGGAGGAGGGAAUGCCAUGUUCUUCAGAAGGAUAGCCACUGAAAAUUAUCUAUGCUCCAGUAAAUAAUCUCCCACCCUUGUUCAUGCAAGCAACCCUAAUUAAACUCUGUUGGUCACGCAAAAAUUUGCAUGAAAGAAGGAGAGACAUUUCUUGCGUAGCAGAUGGCUUUAGCAGAAGAGCAAAAGGUAUGUGAGAUGUGAAAAUGACUAAAAAUUCUCUACAUGUAUGAGCCUGUCAAAGAAUGAAUGAAAAAGAUUAAAUUUCUCAGAAAAAAAAUUAUAAAGGAAUGUUCUUAUCUUGUUAAAGCACAGCAACAAGAUUCCAACAGCUGUCUUUAGUGAUGAGACACUUGAAGCUUUCCAGCUGAGACUGGGGACCAGAGAAGGAUUUUCUUCUUCACCACUGCUUUUCAAAAUCAUACUGUAAGUCUUAGCUAAUGCAGCAAGACAAACC